rnacentral:rRNA from 1 species
GUCCUGGCCCUAAACGGUGUUCACUUGGUGUGCGGGGAGUCGACCCCCUGCGUGCCGCAGCUAACGCGAUAAGUGAACCGCCUGGGAAGUACGACCGCAAGGUUAAAACUCAAAGAAAUUGACGGGGGCCCGCACAAGCGGUGGAGCAUGUGGCUUAAUUCGAUGCAACGCGAAGAACCUUACCUGGCCUUGACAUCUAUCACGAAAAUCGGUGAAAGCCGGUGACGGCCCGAAAGGGUGCAGGGGAUAGACAGGUGCUGCAUGGUUGUCGU